UGCGAGUCAUUGUAGGCAAUACAAUGGCAGACGGCUCAGUAACGCGUAGUCAAUCUACCCUAUGGACGGGAAUAACCUCGGGAAACUGAGAAUAAUGCCCGACAGAACAUUAUACCUGGAACGGUUUAUGUUUCAAAUGAUUUAUCGCCGUAGGAUGGGACUGCGGCCUAUCAGUUUGUUGGUGAGGUAAUGGCCCACCAAGACUAUUACAGGUACGGGCUCUGAGAGGAGUAGCCCGGAGAUGGGUACUGAGACACGGACCCAGGCCCUAUGGGGCGCAGCAGGCGAGAAAACUUUGCAAUGUGCGAAAGCACGACAAGGUUAAUCCGAGUGGUUUCUGCUAAAGAAACCUUUUGCUAGUCCUAGAAACACUAGUGAAUAAGGGGUGGGCAAGUUCUGGUGUCAGCCGCCGCGGUAAAACCAGCACCUCAAGUGGUCAGGAUGAUUAUUGGGCCUAAAGCAUCCGUAGCUCGUUUUGUAAGUUUUCGGUUAAAUCCAUACGCUUAACGUAUGGGCUGCCGGGAAUACUGCAUAACUAGGAAGUGGGAGAGGUAGACGGUACUCGGUAGGAAGGGGUAAAAUCCUUUGAUCUAUUGAUGACCACCUGUGGCGAAGGCGGUCUACCAGAACACGUUCGACGGUGAGGGAUGAAAGCUGGGGGAGCAAACCGGAUUAGAUACCCGGGUAGCCCCAGCUGUAAACUAUGCAAACUCAGUGAUGCAUUGGCUUGUGGCCAAUGCAGUGCUGCAGGGAAGCCGUUAAGUUUGCCGCCUGGGAAGUACGUACGCAAGUAUGAAACUUAAAGGAAUUGGCGGGGGGAGCACCACAAGGGGUGAAGCCUGCGGU
rnacentral:rRNA from 1 species